rnacentral:rRNA from 1 species
UACGUAGGGUGCAAGCGUUGUCCGGAAUUACUGGGCGUAAAGCGUGCGCAGGCGGUUGUGCAAGCCAGAUGUGAAAUCCCCGGGCUUAACCUGGGAACUGCAUUUGUGACUGCACAGCUGGAGUGCGGCAGAGGGGGAUGGAAUUCCGCGUGUAGCAGUGAAAUGCGUAGAUAUGCGGAGGAACACCGAUGGCGAAGGCAAUCCCCUGGGCCUGCACUGACGCUCAUGCACGAAAGCGUGGGGAGCAAACAGG